AAAGUGAUGGUAUAUCGAUUGGUCGUAUACCCCUACCGCUAGUCUUAGUCAUGCGUAAGCAGUACAUAUACGACGGUACAGUUCUUACGACCAUACAUGCACAUAUUUUUAUCUCUCAUGGCUGAUAUGAGAUUAUAUUGAUUGAUUUCAUAGUUCUUUAUUUAUUUCAUAUUUAAAUGUAAUUUAGCUAUCAAUAUUAUUUUAUUAUAUUAUAAUUCAUGUAUCUUGGGCAAGGUCAAAACCCGUGUCAACAGCACUAGGUUAAAAACCGGCGCGGCGGUGGGGGGAGGCAGGUGCUGGCGGAACAAACACCACAGCCGGCGCUGGGCGAGCGGGGUGCGGACGAGCUAGGCCGGCUUGCCUUAGUGGGCCGUAGCGAGGAGGUGGAGCAAGCCGGGGCGGAAGGAUGAGUGGGCCGUGUGGUGAGAUGGGCUAGGCAAGCGGAUUGGGAGUCCGGGCUAGGCCGCAGCGAAAAGUGGAAGAGAGGUGGGUUGCGAGCUAGGCCGAGUGAGAAGCGGGCUGGAAUUUGUGUUGCUGGCCCGUGAGAGAUAGAGAAGGGUUUUUGAUUUAUUUGAUGCGGUUUUAGAUCCAAUUUAAUUUGGAUUUCGAAUUUGGGUGGGAUUCAAAGUAUGGGCUUGAAAUAUAAGAAUGGGGCUUUUGAAAGGGUUUUGCAGAUUAGAAAUAGUUGUGCAUGACUAUGAUGGCUAGUGUUUUUAUGGUGUUUUGAAUAGAAUUAAUAUUCAAAUUAGAUUUGAGUAUUAGCUUCGGGUUUUUUUAAGAAAGGGAAUAUUUUUAAAAGGUUUCUAGAACUUUUGGGGAGGUUUAAAGGGUUUAAUUGAUGAGAGGAAAUGUUUGAAUAUUUCAUAGGUUUUAAUGGAGUUACUAUUUGAAUAGAAUUCGAAUAUUGAUUCAAAGGAUUCGGAAGGAAAAGUUUAAGAGGGAUCGCUAGAGCAAUCAAACGCAACAUGCCAGUAUUUUAUGCAAGGUCUAUUUAUAAAAAGGUUUUGGUAUUCGGGGAAGAGAGGAUGUGUUUAUUUUAAGAAAAAUUUCAUAAAGUCCGUAUUUUUAAGAGAAGUGAUUAGGGGAAAGCGAAGAGCCUAUACACAUAUUAUGCCAUUCUAAACCGGCUAUUAAGGAAGACCCUUACACCUAGAGAUGGAAAUACUUCCGAUGUGACACUCUUCCAAAGGAACUUAAUGGUGGCUUUGAAACCGGGAGAACCUCAAUUUAG
rnacentral:lncRNA from 1 species